rnacentral:rRNA from 1 species
UGGGGAAUAUUGCACAAUGGGCGCAAGCCUGAUGCAGCCAUGCCGCGUGUAUGAAGAAGGCCUUCGGGUUGUAAAGUACUUUCAGCGGGGAGGAAGGUGUUGAGGCUAAUAACCUCAGCAAUUGACGUUACCCGCAGAAGAAGCACCGGCUAACUCCGUGCCAGCAGCCGCGGUAAUACGGAGGGUGCAAGCGUUAAUCGGAAUUACUGGGCGUAAAGCGCACGCAGGCGGUCUGUCAAGUGGGAUGUGAAAUCCCCGGGCUCAACCUGGGAACUGCAUUCGAAACUGGCAGGCUAGAGUCUUGUAGAGGGGGGUAGAAUGCCAGGUGUAGCGGUGAAAUGCGUAGAGAUCUGGAGGAAUACCGGUGGCGAAGGCGGCCCCCUGGACAAAGACUGACGCUCAGGUGCGAAAGCGUGGGGAGCAAACA